UACGUAGGGGGCAAGCGUUGUCCGGAUUUAUUGGGCGUAAAGAGCGUGUAGGCGGCUAGAUAGGUCCGUUGUGAAAACUCGAGGCUCAACCUCGAGACGUCGAUGGAAACCAUCUAGCUAGAGUCCGGAAGAGGAGAGUGGAAUUCCUGGUGUAGCGGUGAAAUGCGCAGAUAUCAGGAGGAACACCGGUGGCGAAGGCGGGUCUCUGGGCAGUAACUGACGCUGAGGAGCGAAAGCGUGGGGAGCGAACAGG
rnacentral:rRNA from 1 species